rnacentral:rRNA from 1 species
CCCUUAGAUGUUCUGGGCCGCACGCGCGCUACACUGACGGAGGCAACGAGCCUAUCCUUGGCCGAGAGGUCCGGGUAAUCUUCGAAACUCCGUCGUGAUGGGGCUAGAUGAUUGCAAUUAUUCAUCUUCAACGAGGAAUCCCUAGUAAGGGCAGUUCAUCAGACUGUCCUGAUUACGUCCCUGCCCUUUGUACACACCGCCCGUCGCUCCUACCGAUUGAAUGGUCCGGUGAGUUGUCAGGAUGAGACGCUUUUGGCGGGCAACUGCGAGAAGCGACUCAGAAUCUCAGCAAACCUUAUCAUUUAGAGGAAGGAGAAGUCGUAACA